AUGAAGAUGCCUAAGCUUAUGAGGAAGCUGCAAACUGUGACCAAAAAUUCUCACUUCAGGCUGCACACUGCUGCUGCUCCCCAACCACAACGCUCUGAUGGUGCUUGCUCGCCUGGUCGCCGCCUCGUCUCGCCCGAUCUUGAUAUCGUCCGGGGCGGCGCCGGCACCGCUCGACCGCGUCGUUGCCUCCUCUGCGUCAUGAGAAGCGCCACCAUUGCCUCCACCCCCACUGGGCAAGGAGCUCGAGGUGUUUGGGGGUUCAUGUUUCCUACACAGGCCAAAACACUAUUGGAGGCCUUGUUCAGUUUGAAACUAGUCGUUUGGAGCAGAUCAGCUCAAAAGAGAUCCUUUGUACCAUUUGCAGACUACCCACCUUCCUCUGGCCUGGAGUCUCGCUCGCCUAUGUUUUCCCCCUAUGGACACACAUGA
rnacentral:rRNA from 1 species